GAGCCCCCAAGGCUGUGGGUAUGAGGCCGGGGCCCUGCACCGGAAGGGAGGGCGGAAGCCACGGGACGUGGAGCAGAUGCUCUUCUCUUUUUCAGGAAAUUACUCCAGGAUUUGAAUCAUCACAAGAGAUUCACCAGAGGAUUUUAUACACUUGGGCUGUGGCAGCAGACUAAUUACAUCACAGCACUAGAGCUGAGAUACUGGCUGGGUGGAUUUCAGCAAAUUUCCAAGGGCACAUGACAUGUGGGCACAAAAGCCGGGAUUUCACACCAGGGGAUAAAGUAUAUCAGAAAUGAAGGCUGGGGUAAGUACAAGCAGUUAAGUGCAAUACUUUGUUCUGAGCUUUCUGACAACCAACCCAACCAUUGGAAAUAUAAAGGUUUACAUGGCUCUCAUUUUCUUUUCAAAAAAUACAAAAAGAAAAUUUUAAUGAUACACACUAGUUUCUCAAGAGGCUCAAAUUUUUUUCCUGAUUUUUAUUCUUAGAGCAAUUUCUUAUAUGGGUCUUUAUAUAACAUUUAAAGGGCAGAAUAAUAGACAAUAUCUCCCCGGAUACUUUUUAUCAGCAAGACAGGAAUGUUCCCCAAAUGACACUGCUUAAGAGAACUUUGAGGAGAACUGAGGGCAAGAUACAAGCCAUGGUUCUAUACAGAUAAGUCUACGGAAGCUGCAGAAAUAACAUUCCAGAUCCCCAGGAAUCCACCCACCCACCCCUCCGACUUUGGCCGAACACCAUGGCUGGCUGCCGUGUGAAGAAUGGACUGUAGGGGGUGCCAGAGUGGCUGUGGGAAACAUCCCCUAGAAAUCUAGAAUUCAAAGCACUUACUUUGAGUGAUAUAUCCACAAGAAAGAGCCUUCUGUGCUAAAAGCAAAA
rnacentral:lncRNA from 10 species